rnacentral:rRNA from 1 species
CCCUUAGAGUUUGAUCCUGGCUCAGGAUGAACGCUGGCGGCGUGCCUAACACAUGCAAGUCGAACGAGGUGUUUUAAAUGAAGUUUUCGGAUGGAUUUUAAAACACCGAGUGGCGGACGGGUGAGUAACGCGUGGGUAACCUGCCUCAUACAGGGGGAUAACGAUUGGAAACGAUUGCUAAUACCGCAUAAGCGCACAGUACCACAUGGUACAGUGUGAAAAACUCCGGUGGUAUGAGAUGGACCCGCGUCUGAUUAGCUAGUUGGCGAGGUAACGGCCCACCAAGGCAACGAUCAGUAGCCGACCUGAGAGGGUGACCGGCCACAUUGGGACUGAGACACGGCCCAGACUCCUACGGGAGGCAGCAGUGGG